GGGUCAGUAGGUUGGUCGUGCCACCGGUACGUACUGGCCUCACUGAUUCCUCCUUCCUGAAGAACCGUGAUGCCAUUAAUUUGGUGUUGCGGGGAAACAGGACUGUUACUUUGAAAAAAUUAGAGUGUUUAAAGCAAGCUAACGCUUGAAUACAUUAGCAUGGAAUAAUGAAAUAGGACGAUCGAUCCUAUUUUGUUGGUUUCUAGGAUUGACGUA
rnacentral:rRNA from 1 species